AAUCAAGGCAGGGGGCGGAGCCACCCGUAAGACAGGCGUUGCGGUGGGAAGGGAAAACCCAGCAGGCUCUGUUCGCGAGAUCUGGGCUCUAGGCUCACGGCAAGGAAACCAGGGCCCCCACUCCUGGUUGCAGCGUCCCUGCGUGCACCCGUUAGCAAAUAUUCCCGAAGAGGGGUUGGGGAGGUGACGGCUGCCUUGGGCGUGGGGAGAGUGAGCCCUGCGGUGUAAUGGAAAAAACGGAUUCUGGAGGUGGACUUACUGAGGCAAACAUGACUGUUCCCUGGGUUGCUCCUGAAGUCAGCCUUCUGGAAAGUUCCUCUGAGGAAGAAGUGAAUUGUUGAUCCACCCAAGUUUCCCAACCCCAGCUGCCAGGGACCUGGUGGUAAGUGGCCAAAGUCAGGCACUAGACCCCAACUCUUGUAUUCAAUGUAAAAUCUGGUCCAGUACCUGGCACGGAGAGCAGAUGUUGAGAAAGUAUGAACCAAUGGAAAGCAGAGCAAAUAAUCUGGUACACUGAAACCUAUACAGGAGGACCAACGUGCGUGCAUCAGACCCACCUUCAUCUUCAUCUUCAUCCUCCUCGUCUUCAUCUUCAUCAACUUCUCCAUCGUGUCCAAAUUCUUCUUCCUAAAGAACAGUAAAUAGCAACCACUAUUAGGUUGAUCUGCCAAGCUGAGAUGUACAAAGAGAAAAAUAACUUGCCAAUAAAUGUAAAAAUUCACCAAGGAGAAAACUUUAAUAUUAUCUUUAUCUACUUUAAUGUUCUGAGAUCUGUUCGUUUCUCUGAAUAAAUGAAUUAAAAUUUUCUUUAAAAACUGCUUUUCAGAAGUAAGCAUUUUAUUUGCCAGACAUGUUUAUUUAAUAUACUAUUAUAAUGGAUAAUUCGAGAAAUGAUUAAAAUUUUUUUGUUAUUUUUUUAAUGUUUAUUCAUUUUUUCCCCCCAAGAAACAGAGAGACAGCACGAGGAGGGGCACAGAGAGAGGGAGACACAGAAUCCAAAGCAGGCUGCGGGCUCAAACCCACGAACUGUGAGAUCAUGAUCUGAGCUGAAGUCGGAUGCUUAACCGACUGAGCUACAGAGGCGCCCCUAAAAAUUUUUAAUUUUAGAACAGGUUCAGACAAAACUCUCUGUAUUCCCAUCCUUAUAAAAACCUUUUAGGAACUUAAUUUCAUUAAAUACCUGUGAGAUUACAUAAAUGCUCAGCCUUACUUUUUUUGUACUACAAAGAACAUGCUUUUUGAUGACAUUUCAUUUUCUUUGCCUAUCUUCACGACCUCCCUGAGGUCUGUCAAAGUUAGGUCAAUCCUUUCUCCUGUCCUCCUUGGCAGUCAGCUCCUCAAAGAUACUAUAUUACUGGGUGUCCCAUAAACUAGACUACCUGCUCUUUCAAGGCAGGACCACAUUCUUGUUUAACUUUACAUCCCCAAAUCUUGAAAACGGCAAUCGUAGAACGUAUUUACUGAAUUAGGCUCAACAUACAAGAACAAGUUCGGACUUGGUAAACAUACCCUCCCGUCCCUUCUUCAACACAAUAGAAGGGACAGACCAUACAUCAGCUCUCAACAUUUCCAGUUUUCUCAUCCUAUGGAAUGAACACCCAACUCACUACUUCCUCCCAAUAAGUUAAAGGGUCAAGACUGAUAAAUCCAGAGCCAAGCAUUUCACUUAGUAUUUACUAAAAGGGGGGAACAGGAAUUAACCAUCAAACUGAUAAUGGUCUAUUUACAAGUUUACUAAUUGCAUUGGAAGUCCUUUUUCUUUCCUUUUUCUUAAAAACAAUACAAAAUAAAAUCACCCACAUUUUUAACUACAAAUAGGAAACAGAGCAGCAAACAUAGUUGCACCAACCUCCCCACUGACUUCGUCUUCAUCAUCUUCCCCUUCUACAUCUUCGUCUUCAUCUUCAUCAUCUUCAUCAUCAAAUUCUUCCUCCUCACCAUCCUCAUCCUCCUCGUCCUCCUCAUCUUCUCCUUCUGAAAACAGUCCAAAGGAAUUCAUUAAACACCCUUGAUGGCCCAUAAGGCACACCUGCUGAGGUGCUGGGGCACUUCAGGUUGAGCCACAGAACAAAUGCUGUGCUACACCAACGUCCAGGAAACCCAUGCCCCUUGGUCGCCCCCUUUCUCCCAGGCUGCUGCAACUCAGUCCCUUUGUCCAUCAUGAUGCCAUUACAUCUGGAGACCAGGAGUCCUGGUGGACUAGAUGUAUGCUACAACAGUCAGUGAUGAAAAUGAUAUUAUCUCUGGGAUUUGCUUCAAAAUAAGGAAGGGGAAGUGGGUAGGGAUGUGUAUGUAUAAAAUAAGAUCAGCCACAAAUCAGUGAUUGUUGAAGCUGAAUGAUGGGAACAUGAAAGUUCACCUUACUAUUAUUCCUAUCUUUGUCUAGGUCUGAAAUUUUCCAUAGUAAAAAGUUACCCCCCUCUCCCAAAAUAAAUAAAUAAUGAGCUCCUUCUCUGAGGGAAGGGCAUCACCAUAAAGCCAGCUGCCAGAUGAGGAAUCUAAGAGAGUAAUAACCCUGUGAGAGGAAGGAAAUAAGAGGCAGGCUGAGAGGUACCUGCACCCUCUGCGUCUCUACUCCAUUUGGCUCAGGCCUCUAGGCAACCAGUUCUUACCUCUCCUGGUCCUGAAGCUCGCUGUGCUGUCCUGCUUCCUAGUCUCUGCAUAUUCUUCCCUUUCUUCUCUGCUUGGCUAACACUGAUUCAAACACCUGGGUCUCAGUUAAACAUCACUUUUUUCUUAAUUGAUUUUUAAUGUUUAUUUCUUUUUGAGAGACAGCAUAUGGACAGGAGAGGGCCAGAAAGGGGGAGACAGGAUCCAAAGCAGGCUCUGAGCAGUGAGGACAGAGCCCAAUACGGGGCUUGAACACACAAACCAUGAGAUCACAAUGUGAGCGGAAAUCAACAGUUGGACGCUUGGGGAGCCUCAGAGGCUGAGUUGAUUAAGCAUCCGACUCUUGGUUUCAGUUCGGGUCACACAAUCUCAUAGUUCCUGAGUUUGAGUCCUGCAUCAGGCUCUGUGAUGACAGCACAGAGCCUACUUAGGAUUCUCUGUCUCCCUCUUUCUUUCUGCCCCUCCCUUGCUCGCUAUCUCUCUCAAAAAAAUAAACUUAAAAAAAGGAAAAAAAAAAAAAAAA